AAAAACAAUGUUAUCACCCUAUUUAAAGGGUUGAAAGAGUCUUGUUUGGAGUUAUGUGGGGUUGAAUAAUUAUGUUUGUAAUAUUUCAAAAGUUGGCAGAAAAAAGAAAAAAUAAGAAAAAGAAAAAAAAGAAAAAAAAGGAAUGAAAAAAUAGAAGGAUAAGAGGAAGAAAAAAAUAGAAGGAUAAGAGGAAGAAAAAAAUGAAUCAUGUUUGUAAUAUUUCAAUACAUGUCAAUACAUACUCGUUCAAAGAAACUGAAUAAAAAAAGGAAGGAAAAGAGAAAACAA
rnacentral:lncRNA from 1 species